GGAAUUCAGGGUCAGGAGCGGCGAGGAGCAGCAGGUAGGUAGGCUGGCAUCGGGUCCGUGGCAGCCGCCCGGCCGCCGCGUGGGGCACCGCCUCAGUGUGGCCGCAACCUCCGCGCAAGGAACUCCUCUACGCCGCCUCCACCACCUCCACCGCCGCAGCCGCAGCCGCAGACAUGCCUAAGCCCAAGGAGUUCUUCGCCAUGGCGGCGCUGUGCCUCGCCUCCGCCUUCGCCUUCUUCUGCUGCCCGAUCUUCAUGGAGCGACCGCAGCAGUAAAGCGUCGCUCGCGCUCCCGUACCUGUGAUACACCAUGCGCCCGCACCAUCAGCUGCCUUGGGAGGAGGGCGAGGAAGCCGCACCGCGCGACGUGGCUUGAGGGAGGCAACAACCCAGCUGCAAUUGCAAUGUAACAACAUCUCAUCACAAGGAGGGAAGGAAUCGCCGGAGGUUUCCCGGAAAUCAUUCAACAAAGGGGCCAAAAAGAGAAGAAGUCCAUUUUGGUGAAGCUGUCUUGAUGCUGUUCAAGGAAACUCUGGUCUCUCAUGGAAAAUAAUUGUAUAUAUCAAUCAGGAGACGGCGAUAACCUGAAGACCCUUUUAGCCAACCUGUCACCACAUUAAUAAGCUGGCAUUAACAAAACAAAGAAGAAAAGGGAGUUUAAGAAACCAAAACAACAAUAAGAAUUAAUCUAUACAUGCACAGUCCCCUCAUAAAGUGUCUAUUCUGUGCAACAGUAACUUGUUCAAAGUCGAAAGGUUUUUUUUUAAAUCAAACGACCUGACUUAAUUUCCACAUUGAAUCCAGGUGUUUCAAAGGUUAGCCAGUGUUUGUCUAUAAGCUUUAAUGUAACCCUGUAACAUGGUGUGAAUGAUGAUAGUAUUAUUAUUAUCACGAUUAUUUUUCUUUCUUUCUUUCCCUCAUAGUAUCAUAUUAGUCUUUAUGUUAAGUGUGUAAUGGUAUGCCUGUUCAUCCUAUAUCACUUUAUUUGUUGUUUUUAAUAAAUGUUAAUAGUAUUAAA
rnacentral:lncRNA from 1 species